AAUAACCCUAACAUACAGCCCAAAAUUCCACUGCCAUUGAAAUUGUUGUAGCCUUGAAAUUCCCUUGAAAGUCCAUCAAUUAUAGCCUUGAAAUUGUGGUGUUCUUCAUCAUUUUUCUCGAGUUGCUGAGCGGUUGUCUCUCGUUUGCUUCCCCUACCUCUGGGCAGGGGAGGGCUUUAUUUUUGGGUCUCCAGCCUAGCUUUUAGGGAUGCCCUUCCCUAGCUAGGUUAGGCUGCAUAUAGCUAGCUAGGUUUUGUGUUUGGUUUGGGAUGCAUGUAAGCAGAUCUUCAUAAAAAAUAAAAAAA
rnacentral:misc_RNA from 1 species